GACGAACGCUGGCGGCAGGCUUAACACAUGCAAGUCGAGCGCCCCGCAAGGGGAGCGGCAGACGGGUGAGUAACGCGUGGGAAUCUACCCAUCUCUACGGAAUAACGCAUGGAAACGUGUGCUAAUACCGUAUACGUCCUUCGGGAGAAAGAUUUAUCGGAGAUGGAUGAGCCCGCGUUGGAUUAGCUAGUUGGUGGGGUAAAGGCCUACCAAGGCGACGAUCCAUAGCUGGUCUGAGAGGAUGAUCAGCCACACUGGGACUGAGACACGGCCCAGACUCCUACGGGAGGCAGCAGUGGGGAAUAUUGGACAAUGGGCGCAAGCCUGAUCCAGCCAUGCCGCGUGAGUGAUGAAGGCCCUAGGGUUGUAAAGCUCUUUCACCGGUGAAGAUAAUGACGGUAACCGGAGAAGAAGCCCCGGCUAACUUCGUGCCGGCCGCCGCGGUAAAAC
rnacentral:rRNA from 1 species